rnacentral:misc_RNA from 1 species
GAAAUUAUUUAUAGCUAAGUUUUAUAACAGUAGAAAUACAAAUAACCCAAAGCAGAGAGAUAUGGUUGGAAUAGCCUGAUAGUUGUAUAAUAUAAAUAGAUCUUUUUUUUCCCCAACACUUUCUUAGCUCUAAUGGUGCAGGUAUUGGCUAAAACCUGAAAUAAAUCCACAUGUAACUUGUCUUGGAAUGGAUCACUGCACUCGGUACACAUAAACUGCUGCUCCCAACCUUUAAUGGAGAAUCUGGCUGCCAUAGUCGUCAUUAAAUUUAUCGUAACGGUGGGCAUGGAGAUGAGCUGAUGGUCUGGUGUUCUUCAACGCCACCUCGAUAUCUGCAGGUGUCACUGGACCGACAGCUGGCAACUCAUCAUCGGGCACUCGCUCCUGAUUGCCUUCCAAAAUUGUCAUUAACCGUCUCACUGGCUGCAUGGCUGCCUCUUUACACACUAGACGGAUAUCUGAACCUGAAUAGCCUUCAGUCCCCUCCACAAGGAACUCAUAUGGAAUCUCUGCAGUCUCGGGAACUGAAGGCAGAAGUGCCUCGAACAUUGCAAGUCUUGCUUCUGGUUCUGGCAGAGGCACAAGUAUCCUCUUUUCAAGACGACGGAGCAUAGCUGCAUCCAACUCCCAAGGUAGAUUGGUUGCUGCUAAAACAAAAACAAGCUCAUCUGUCUUGGCCAAGCCAUCCAUCUGUAUAAGAAGCUCAGUCUUCAAGCGCCGACUAGCUUCAUGCUCACUGCGUGCUUCACCACGCUGACUUAUGAUCGCAUCGAUCUCAUCAAGAAAUAUGGUAGACGGUGCAUGAUGUCGGGCAAGCUCAAAUAGAACCUUCACCAGCUUCUCUGAAUCACCACGCCAUUUGCUGACAAUUGAUGAUGCAGAGAUAUUAAAGAAGGUAGUCCCACACUCUGUCGCCACAGCUUUUGCAAGCAUUGUCUUUCCAGUCCCUGGAGGGCCAAAAAGCAGAAUACCUUUCCAAGGAGAAAGAAGUCCAGUAAAGUACUUGGGAUAUUUU